GUAGGUGAACCUGCGGAAGGAUCAUUAUUGAAAUAAACCUGAUGGGUUGUUGCUGGUUCUCUAGGGAGCAUGUGCACACCUUGUCAUCUUUAUGUCUCCACCUGUGCACCUUUUGUAGACCCUGGAUAUUUUUUCAUGGUCUAUGUUGCUUCUUCAUUUAUCCCAAUGUAUGUUAAUAGAAUGUAUAUGACUAUGAAAUCUAUACAACUUUCAGCAACGGAUCUCUUGGCUCUC
rnacentral:misc_RNA from 1 species